UGAAAUCCCGUGCAGUGUGGAGCCA
rnacentral:piRNA from 1 species